GUUACUUCUCUACUCAGACAAGCAUCCCUGCAGACACUCACUAGGCUAACUCUGUCUUUAUUUUUAGAAUUAGACCUUUACGAGAAGCACAGUUUUGUCUUCAGUUUCCUCUCCCCCCACCCGGAAUGGCCUGAGCCGAAGCCAGCUCCCUCCGAGAAGUCAUUACCGCCUGAUGCUGGCUCCCCGUCCCCUGUCCACCAUGAGUCAAAGCAAUGUGAGUCCCUCACCAGAUGCAACUGCCCAGUCUUGGACUUUCCAGUGACCAGAAUCAUGAGCCAAAUAAAC
rnacentral:lncRNA from 10 species